GACGUAGGAGGCGAGCGUUAUCCGGAUUCACUGGGCGUAAAGCGCAUGUAGGCGGUUGCACAAGUCCGUUGUUAAAGCCCCUGGCUCAACUGGGGGAGGUCAAUGGAGACUGUGCGACUUGAGGGCAGUAGAGGCACGUGGAACUCCCGGUGUGGCGGUGGAAUGCGUAGAGAUCGGGAAGAACACCAGUGGCGAAGGCGACGUGCUGGGCUGCAACUGACGUGAGAUGCGAAAGUGUGGGGGAGCAAACGGGG
rnacentral:rRNA from 1 species